UCCAAAAAAUUAUUAUUGGUAGUUUCAAUCCCGUUGAAUCUAACUCCUGGACGCCAUUGGUUUCGCAUCACGUCAGUCUCCUGCGCGCACUCGCUGUGCCCUGUGAACGCGCAUCGGCCGCGUGCACGCGCAGACAGCGUGCCCGACCGGAGUCUGUCUGGAGUCUGUCUGAAACAAACUGAGCACAAAUGUCGCUGAUGGGACUUUCGGGAGACUCGGCGGAACUUUAUAAAUACGCAGGACCCGACAGCACGCGCAGACUUCUGAAGUCUCUGAAUCCAAUUUUAACUGUAGCGCAUUGAAAACUUUUUAAAAUCUCUUUUAAUUCCGUGACGUUUCUUUCAUCAGACAGUUCAUUUUAAAGCACAGGCUGAUGGAGGUCAUCCUGGAAAUUUUCCCCUGGUGCUGUGGCACACUGACAAUUGAUCUGACGGUGUGAACGGUUGUGAACGUGCACGUGUCGCUCCGGUGUGAAAUCUCACCUGCCGCACUUUCAUGUUGCAUCACAACAACUUCAGCAUGAUCGCUGAUCAAAACACAGCUAACAGCAUCAGGUCUGUGUGUGUGUGUGUGUGUGUGUUUGCGUUGAAGCGGAGUGACUGUUUCCACCCUGAACUGUUUUAUUCCUCUCACACCACAGCAAUUUCCAUUCAUUAUUCAUUAAAGAACAACACAUCAUAUUUUUUAUCCAUUUCUAGUUACACGUCGUGGAAUAUCCAUGUUACUGAGAGACCGCCAAAAGGGCUGAACUUCUGAUUUUUUGUGUCGGAAAACCUACUGACGGUUACAAACGCUGACACUGGAGACUCCUUCCAUGAAUGUAGAAGAAAGUCGGAAAUAUUGACCUUUUUUUGUCGUGUGGAUUACCUGACAGAUUUAGACUCUUAAGACUGUUUUAGCACUACAGGUUACCGCUCCUACCAGACGAGCGCGAUCGUUACGAAGACGUAAAAAUUCCCAGACGUUUAGAGGAGAAGCCGCCAUUUUAGACUCUUUUUUUUUGUUGUUGUUGAAAACAGGAAGCGGCCAUUCUGUAAUCUUCUUUCUGCGGUUGAUGUCAGGGUGCAGAUGUCACCUCAGCACAUAAAAUAAAAACUAGGGAUGCACUGAUACCGAUACCAGUACUCGGGUGUUGGCCCGAUACUGUGCUCAUGUACUCGUACUUGUACUUGUAAAACUACCCCGAUACAACCGCACCAAUACCACUUUAUGACAACGUGACAUAGCCUAACCUCUCGUCAGUUGAGCGGGUAGUCAGAAGAGGAGCAAUGUCAGCAAUUUGGAGAUAUAUUAAGAUAAGUGAUGAUGAUAAAAGUAGAGCAGACUGCAAACUAUGCUCUGCUAAACUGUCAAGAGGAGGGGUAAAAAAUAGCUCAUUUAACACAAGCAAUUUGAUUAAACAUCUAAAGAACAAACAUAACGCCGAGUGCAAAGAGUUUUCUAAUGCUAGCAGAGGGAAACAGCAACAACCAACUUUGCAGCAAACGCUGGAGAAGCGAGAGAAAAUGUCCAGAGACAACCGACGGGCAGUAAAAAUAACAGAAGCUCUUACCCAGUUCAUUGCUCUUGAUCAGUUGUCAGUUGUAAAUAAUACAGGAUUUCGUCGUCUUCUUGGUGUACUUGAGCCAAAGUAUGAGAUUCCCAGCCAUCACCACAUUACAGAUACCACAUUACUAAAGCUGCAUGACUUGGUGAAAAAGCACAUCAGGAACCUGUUGCAGGACAUUUCGGCCUUCAGCUUCACCACCGAUAUUUGGACUAGCAGUGUCAGCCCAAUGUCUCUUAUAAGUUUAACAACACACUGAUUUGAUGAGGAUUUUACUCCCCAGAGAGUCGUUUUACAAGCAACGCAGUUUAGGGGGUUUCUCACUGGUCAAGCUGUAGCAUGUGCGUUUGAUGACGUGGGGCAUUCGGAAAAGUGUGAAGUACUCAUAUCAGUACUUGGUAUCGGCAAGUACCCAAAUGUAAGUACUUGUACUUGUACUUGGUCUGAAAAAAAGUGGUAUUGGUGCAUCCCUAAUAAAAAUGUCCUCAACAUGCAUUUAGAGAACCGGAGCUAACUGGUUUCGUGUUGGUGAGAGUUGACGCCACUUCUUGUUUCGAUUGUUUUACUAUUACAGUGCGACACGUUUGAGAUUUUAGGACUUUUGUAAAGGGUACUGCGUUCGUUCAGCGGGUCGACACCCUCUACCCAGCCGCACGUGUAAGGAAGCGCGUGUUGAUGGAAGACAUCGGAAGGUACCAUCAUGGGUCUGGGAUUCUUCGUCAGAUCACACACGUGUUUUGUAUUCAUAUCCCGAUUCGGACUGUCGGUGACGUUAUGUCGACGCAGCAACUUUAUAGCUCACGCUGAACAUAGUUCCACUAGUGAUCAAUUUAAAUGUUAUUUUCAUCGUACGUGAAAUAUCUAGCUAGUAGGAGCUGAGAUUAUGAUUGAUGCAUAGAUGUGUUUAAUCACUGUUUCUGUUGUUCUGAGCAAAAAGGAAGAGAACUGAAGACGUUCAUUAUUUUCCAUCUCUCUCUCUCUCGCUCUCUCUCUCUCAUGAGGUUUUCAUGAGGAUCGUGAGGGACAUUUCGGUGUGUUUGUCGUGUCUAUCCUGCGUGUCUGUUUAAACACACGUUCCAUAAUCAAGGACAGAGCUUUUGGCUUUUGGCUCAGGAAGGCCCCAGGUGGUGUGUGUGUGUGUGUGAGAAAUGUCAGCGGAAGCUCGUCUCAGCGGCCUGAAUGGAGACAAAGCCCAGUGGACACACAGCUCUGCCCUUUUCUCUUUGGCCCCGUUGCCCUCUAUACCCUUUGAUUAGCCGAGUAGGGAGCACUGACCCCCACCUCUCUCCCCGCCACUCAACCCCCUACUGCACCCCCACCACUUGCCCCCGCAGCACCCUCCAGAGUGCGCACUUGUCCACCGGUGACCCCUCCUUCCGGAAACGUCCGCAGUGGGAAAGUGGAAAUGUUGCACGAGGGCGUCCGGGACGCGGCAUCGUGCACCUUGACCCGUCUAGACGCUUUUUUUUAUCCAUUUCUGUUUGUUGCCAAGCAGGCCAAGUGAAC